rnacentral:rRNA from 1 species
CCCUUAGAUGUUCUGGGCCGCACGCGCGCUACACUGACGAAUGCAACGAGCUUAUAACCUUGGCCGAAAGGUCUGGGUAAUCUCCAAAUUUCGUCGUGAUGGGGAUAGAUUAUUGCAAUUAUUAAUCUUCAACGAGGAAUGCCUAGUAAGCGCAAGUCAUCAGCUUGCGUUGAUUAUGUCCCUGCCCUUUGUACACACCGCCCGUCGCUCCUACCGAUUGAAUGGUCCGGUGAAGCGCUCGGACCGCGGCCUCUUGACGGUUUUCCGUCGAUUGGCUGUGGGAAGUUCGUUAAACCUUAUCAUUUAGAGGAAGGAGAAGUCGUAACA